rnacentral:rRNA from 1 species
CAGGCCUAACACAUGCAAGUCGAGCGCGAAAACCCCUUCGGGGGCCAGUAGAGCGGCGCACGGGUGAGUAACACGUGGAUAAUCUGCCUUCAGGUCUGGAAUAACCAAGGGAAACUUUGGCUAAUACCGGGUAAUACCCAGCGGCGUUAAGCUGUUGGGGAAAAGCAGGGGCCCUCUUCGGAGGCCUUGCGCCAGAAGAUGAGUCCGCGGCCCAUCAGCUAGUUGGCGGGGUAAUGGCCCACCAAGGCGAAGACGGGUAGCUGGUCUGAGAGGAUGACCAGCCACACUGGAACUGAGACACGGUCCAGACUCCUACGGGAGGCAGCAGUGGGGAAUAUUGCGCAAUGGACGAAAGUCUGACGCAGCAACGCCGCGUGAGUGAUGAAGGUCUUCGGAUCGUAAAGCUCUGUCGGCAGGAACGAUGGCGCAGGGACCUAACAGGUCCACGCGUUGACGGUACCUGCAAAGGAAGCACCGGCUAACUCUGUGCCAGCAGCCGCGGUAAU